AUUUUUUAAAAUAAAAAUGAAGCCUAUCACCACUGAGGAAGAAGAGGCGAAACAACUUUCACCUCGGCGGUUAGGACGCGCGGCUUCGUGAAGCUACAGGAGGAAUGCAAGUGCUCUUUUCCUGGGCUAAGCAAGAUUUUGACAUCAGCGCCGAAAGCGAAGGGAAAACUGAUCGAUGCUCUGCUUCGCCCCCUCCCAGACAAACGAAGCGUCUCCCUUGCCUUGGCUUCGUCCAAGCCUCCAGUCCCAUCCCUUGGCAGGAAGUUGCCGUGGGGGAAAAGGGAGGGAGAAAAAGAAAAGGAGAGACUUACUUUCGAGUAAACUUGGAGAGGCUUGGGAGACGCACGUGUGAGAUUUGCAGCACGAGGCUGGGCAUGUUGACACAGAAGGAUGCCCAGCACGGGUUUCAAGGGGGCUGACGCUCAAAUGCAGUUUAAAAGGAGUUUCACUUUUUGGCUUGUUCAUUUGGAAGGAGACAGCCCCCCCCCCGGCAUAUAACGCUUGGUACACAUGGCAUCUCAAGAAUACAGCAUGCCCUGGAGAAAGAGGAGGAUUGGUCUGCUUAAAAUUCAUAAUCCUUACAAAGUGGCUGCCCCAUUCAUGAAGUGUUCCUUCUUUUUAGCGAGAGUAAACACAAUCACAGUGAAGAGAAAGAAAAGACAUUUAUUCACGGAGUAGUAAUGCUUCUAAACCACACAAAUGCAGGGGCAGCGUUUAAUAAUUUAGUAUUAUUUUUGCAUUGAUUUGUAUAUGAAAUAGGUGGAGUUUCAUUGUGCAGGGUUGAUUGUUUCACCAUCCAAUCUGUGGGCUCAGAGGCUUGCAUUUGCAAGCUGUGAAUAUGUGCUGUGUAGUUCACUGGGCAUACUUGGGUCACCUCCAAGGCAAAGAAGUGGUAGCUGAGGGCUGGUUUCUGUGUUGCACUCUUACCCCUCCCUUAAUUUUGCUGCAAGUACACUUCUCAGGCAGGCAGCGGAUGCAUGUCUGGUGCAGACACACUUCACACCUGAGUAUGUGCCUGUCCUUUGGCUAUGAGGAAAAGGGGAACUCCAGGCUGCCUUCCUAGAACAGGGAGAUUUCAGUAAUUCAGUAGCUUAAGCCAAGUCAAAUUUCUUUCUGGAAGUGAUUGUAAGAAGAAUUGCACAGUGUGUGUUACCUCUAUAGUGGCCAGCUGGAACUUUGUAGGAUUGUUUUUUUGUACAGACACCUGAUAUUUUCAUAAUAGGUAGAUUUUUUUUGGAAAAGAUGAUCAGCUGGUGCUCGAGUUCUGCAGCCACGUUUUAGCUGAAGUGUAAGCAUCUUGUACUGACACUCACAUUGCAGAACUAUAAAAUGCAAAAGGAUCAGAUAUUUUCACAAGAGGACAUAUACCACAACAUGUUGUGACACUUUUUUCCAGCACCUAACAGGAAUGUUCUUGUUUAGGGUUACUGCCAGCCACCUGGAGAUGUCUUUUUCUAAUUCUUAGGGGCUCAAGGAAGCCAAUUUACUCUCCCUCUGUGGUUUUCUAUCUCUUUCUUUUCCUGCGUUCUGUUAAGACUGAGCAUGUUCAGUUUGGGAUUGUUUUGUUAGUUUUCUUUUUUUUACUUCUGCAAACCUUGAGGUUUCCUUUGAGCAUUCUGAGUGCACCGAGUUCCUUGUUAGAGGGAACAAUUGUGCCUGAUUAACAUAACUUGCAUAUCAUUUUAAAAAACAUGGCAGAUACAUUUGGAGGAUAUUGUUUGCUCUAUGCUAUACUAUCCCCUCCCCCUGAAAAAGUUCUUAUGCACAGACUUGGAAAUGGCAACAUAUGAUGAAUUCCUGUAUCAUUCCCAUGUCAAAACAGCACUAUGAAUCACUGCUUCGUUCAUAUGAUAUUCAGGUCACUCCUGUUUCAGUUCUAGGAUUGGGCUAUGUAUCCUGAUAUAUAAUAAUUGUUUAAAAUUUUUACUUUUAUAUUUAUUACAACUUACACCCUGCUUUUCACCAUCAGCAUCCCAAAGUGGCUUACAGAAUAAAAGUAUGCAACAUACAAAGUUUAAAGCAUAAAUUGAAACAUCAGAGACUUAAAACUUCAGAGCGGCAUUCACGGUGCGGAGGCCUCCAAAAAUAAAAGAGUUCUAAUCUGUUUUCUGAAACUUGGCAGGGAUUGUGCUUCCCUGGUUUCUAGUGGGAGGGAGUUCCACAGAGCUAGGUUCCCUACAAUGAAGGCUGACUCCUUGUUGACACAAGUUGUGCUUCUGGUUCCCUGUGGGAGUACUAAUAUUGCUGCCCCUAGGUGAUCUCAUUGAUCAUUUUGGGAGACAUGGGUUAAAGCAUUCUGGACCUAAGUUGUUCUGGAGUUUGCACACUAGUAUCUUGAACCUGGCCUGGUCCUCUCUGUUAUUUGCCACUCAGUGGCAAAGCAUUUGCUUUUUCUACAGGAUGCCUCACGUCCAAUCCCUGUUCCUUCCGUUAAAACAAGGACAUCCAACUCCCAAGAGACUGCAAUCUGCUUCCGGGGAAAACUGGCAGUGAUCUACCCAUUUUUUUUGGGGGGGGAGUUCACAGUUGGGGGGAGGAGACAUGAUUCUAAAUAACGCGAGCGAUAAGGAUCCCGCGAUCAUCCGGGGAUCAACCUGUCUAUUGCGGUCAACCGGUUGGACACCCCUGCGUUAAGAGAUGGCCAGGUUGCAGUUGAUGGGGAAGAUGAAGGGACCCUCUGCAAGACACAGGAGAGUGUUCUGGUCUUGUAGGUGAAAUUGUGCUGAUAAAAGGCAAAGCACCUCCUGUCAAGAAGGGCUGUAGCUCAGUGAUAGAGCAUCUGCUUUGCAUGCAGAAGGUGCCAGGUUCAAUCCCCAGCACCAACCAGGUUCAACCCCUGCCUGAAACCCUGGAGAGUCGCUGUUGGUCAGUGCAGAUGAUACAUGCUUAGAUGGACCAGUGUUUGAUUCUGUAUAAGGCAGCUUCCUGCAUUCCUAUCUGUGCAUAUUUGCAAGUGUAUUAGAAGUGUGUUUGUCCUUUUGAAAGUAAGUGGAUAACACAAUCCUGGGUGGAUUCCUUUAGUGUUCAUUCUUGGGAUAUAAGGGGCAGUUGCCGCUCUUGCGUCUCCCGUGACACCAAUAUUCAACUCCGGGUACUCUCUCUGGUGAAGUUGGUGGUUAUUAGCAUUCCUUCUUUCCCUUUGUUUACAGUUUCUUAUUUACUUUGUUGAAUUUUUUAAAAGUUGCAAGAAUUCUGUCAAAUACAUAUAUUCAACAGUAUUUAGGCCUCAAAAAAUAAAGAUGCAUUAGAAAGAUGCC